GAUGAACGCUGGCGGCGUGCCUAAUACAUGCAAGUCGAGCGAACGGACGAGAAGCUUGCUUCUCUGAUGUUAGCGGCGGACGGGUGAGUGACACGUGGAUAACCUACCUAUAAGACUGGGAUAACUUCGGGAAACCGUAGCUAAUACCGGAUAAUAUUUUGAACCGCAUGGUUCAAAAGUGAAAGACGGUCUUGCUGUCACUUAUAGAUGGAUCCGCGCUGCAUUAGCUAGUUGGUAAGGUAACGGCUUACCAAGGCAACGAUGCAUAGCCGACCUGAGAGGGUGAUCAGCCACACUGGAACUGAGACACGGUCCAGACUCCUACGGGAGGCAGCAGUAGGGAAUCUUCCGCAAUGGGCGAAAGCCUGACGGAGCAACGCCGCGUGAGUGAUGAAGGUCUUCGGAUCGUAAAACUCUGUUAUUAGGGAAGAACAUAUGUGUAAGUAACUGUGCACACCUUGACGGUACCUAAUCAGAAAGCCACGGCUAACUACGUG
rnacentral:rRNA from 1 species